rnacentral:rRNA from 1 species
CAUGCAAGUCGAACGAGAGGACAAGAGAAGCUUGCUUCUUUUGGAAUCGAGUGGCAAACGGGUGAGUAACACGUAAACAACCUGCCUUCAGGAUGGGGACAACAGACGGAAACGACUGCUAAUACCGAAUACGCUUGGGAGACCGCAUGAUCUUCCAAGGAAAGGGUGGCCUCUACCUGUAAGCUAUCGCCUGAAGAGGGGUUUGCGUCUGAUUAGGCAGUUGGCGAGGUAACGGCCCACCAAACCUACGAUCAGUAGCCGGUCUGAGAGGAUGAACGGCCACACUGGAACUGAGACACGGUCCAGACUCCUACGGGAGGCAGCAGUGGGGAAUCUUCCGCAAUGGGCGAAAGCCUGACGGAGCAACGCCGCGUGAGUGAUGACGGCCUUCGGGUUGUAAAGCUCUGUGAUCGGGGACGAACGGUCCGUAAGUCAAUACCUUAUGGAAGUGACGGUACCCGAAUAGCAAGCCACGGCUAACUACGUGCCAGCAGCCGCGGUAAUACGUAGGUGGCAAGCGUUGUCCGGAAUUAUUGGGCGUAAAGCGCGCGCAGGCGGCUUUCUAAGUCCAUCUUAAAAGUGCGGGGCUUAACCCCGUGAUGGGAUGGAAACUGGAAAGCUGGAGUAUCGGAGAGGAAAGUGGAAUUCCUAGUGUAGCGGUGAAAUGCGUAGAGAUUAGGAAGAACACCGGUGGCG